ACGUAAUUUGACACAUCUGAUUCAUACCUAAAUCGAAAAUGCAGCAAGCUCUGUUAUGUGUUUGCAUUUAUGUUCUCUAACACUUUUGCAUCAGUGUGCGUGCGCUGGGCUUAAGGCUAAAUUUACAUGUGGUCCGCACAGACAUUUAGUUUGGGAUGUUAUCGAGUUGGUCUUGACCCGGUGGCGCCCAUGAAGAACCAGGAGCUGGUGCUGGCAGGCAGCUUGGCGACCAGAUUGAUGCUCUUCAACUUUACGACGGUCUUGAACAGUUGCCAGCUGCACUUCUUGGAUUGCCUCUUAUCAGAGUCGUAGCGAUCAUUGAUGAACAGCUGGCUGGUCAGAUGAAUGAUCGCUGUAGCUAUCAAAGUCUACAUAGUCGUCGUUCAGCUUCAACUACAGCUGCUGCAGCGGUGGCGACAGGCUGUUCCCAACUAAUCCACUAAUUAUGACGCUGGAUCAAAUAGGAGCUGGCCAUGAUUAAUUUAUUUCUUUUGUUACUUAUAGAUAAGGCUGAAUAAGGAAUUGGCACAACUGGAGAAGCUGUUCCAGAUGGUCCCGCAGUAUGACAACAUGGAAAGGCAGCUGAGGCGUUGCACAGCGAGGCGGCGGCCAAGGAGCAGGAAGCUGAAGGAGAUCAGUACGAGCUUAGGCGCUGCCAAUUGUUGCUGUCAGCGCUGCGUGAAUUCUUCAUACAACUUGUGCUUACUGUACCAAUGUGUACAUCUCUGCAGCGAGCGCAGGACUUCUUCUACACGAUACCUGGCUAUUGAAGUCGGAUCUAGAUCCUGGAGAGUUACCGACUUAACUGGACUAAGGACUACAUCAGUUUUCCACAGCAAUAUCAACAGCAAAAGCUGCUCAUCCUGCUUGAAAGGAUGCUUUUAUUUAAAUUAG